CCCUUAGAUGUUCUGGGCUGCACGCGUGCUACACUGAUAUUGCCAAUAUGUCAUUCUUAUCCGAAAUGGAUUGGGUAAUCAAGUAAUGAAAUUUCAUGCUUGGAAUCGGUAAUUGCAAUUUUAUCGUGAACGAGGAAUUCCUAGUAAGCACUAGUCAUCAGCUAAUGUUGAUUAUGUCCCUGCCCUUUGUACACACCGCCCGUCGCUACUACUGAUUGGGUGUUCAAGUGAGAUGGUUAGACCCUUGUUGCAUGGUUCAUUAUUGUGCUCCGAAAGGAAAAAGUUUCAAGCUUGAGUGUCUAGAGGAAGUAAAAGUCGUAACA
rnacentral:rRNA from 1 species